rnacentral:rRNA from 1 species
UACGGGGGGGGCAAGCGUUGCUCGGAAUUACUGGGCGUAAAGGGCUCGUAGGCGGCCAACUAAGUCAGACGUGAAAUCCCUCGGCUUAACCGGGGAACUGCGUCUGAUACUGGAUGGCUUGAGUUCGGGAGAGGGAUGCGGAAUUCCAGGUGUAGCGGUGAAAUGCGUAGAUAUCUGGAGGAACACCGGUGGCGAAGGCGGCAUCCUGGACCGAUACUGACACUGAGGAGCGAAAGCCAGGGGAGCAAACGGG